CCUUCUGGUCUUUUGUUAUUUCUGUGGGAGGACCACAACCAUGAAGAUGAAGGGAGGAACAGAGCUUUUGAAGAACUGCUGCCGUGUUGGCUAUGAAAACACGUGUAUCGUCGUGCACUGUGCAGUAGGUGAUGUCAGAGAAGUAAGAGCCAUCUGGGCAUCUUCUGAGAAAUUCUGCAGAAUGUUCUGUGAGAAUCAGCCCG